CUCCCACACGGCGGCAGGCAGCGACUCCAUCUCCCUGACUCCUCGGACAUCGAAGCUCCAUGGCCGCCCAGCUCCUUCCCUAGCCGAGCUAUGGCUUCUCCUAUGGCGCCACCCUUUCCCUCGGCACCUUCCCCCAGCAGGAUUCCUCCUCCCCCAUGGAAAUCAGCAGCGCGCCGCGACUCUCUCUGCUCGUGCGUGGGAUUUGCCGAGCAGGAGGUCCCCAUGGCCGGCGCGCGCUCUUGCUGUGUCUCUCCCUACGAGCUCGGGCUUCUCCCUCUCGCCCCCCUGCCUCUGCUCCUCCAUGGUGGAGUGCUGGCGAGGGCACCAUCUCUUGGCGCUACCCUGCUCCAUCCAAUCCCAGCUCUCCAUUGAUGGCCAAUGCCUUUCCUGCUCGUCCAUGGAGAUCUCGUCGGCGGCUGACUGCCUCGCUUCAUGGUGCCCCUCCUCGCUCCUGCUCCCUAUGGCGCGCUGUAGCAGUGCCGAGCUAGUCCGAUCCUCCAUCUCAUCGAUGCCUCCCCUGCUGAUAUCCCCAUGGUCACUUGCCCCUGUGUUUCCUCCCAUGGCGCCUCCCUUCUCUGUUUCUUCCCCUAACCUGCGCACGGCAAGCCCAGGACCGAGCGUCCCUGCCUCCCCUCGGACCUGUGGGCACUAGCUCAGGCUCCUUUUUUCCCACCAUCUCCCUCAGCCAGUAGCAGUCGACCUCCUCCCCCUGCUGUUCCUGCAGUCCAAGUUCUCCCCACGCCGACCUUCUUCUCCGGCAAGUCUGGCCGCUGCCAUCCCUCGGCAUCGGGCUGGGGCACACGCCGAGCUCCUCCUCACGUGCUCCUUCGCUGGUCUGCGUCCUCGCUCGAGCAGCAGCAGCAGCGACGCCCUUCGCUGUGUCGCGCUCGUCAGAACGGGCCUCACGUCGUCGAUCUGCGCAGAGUCUACGCGUCAUCGUCGAAACCCGCGCCCUUGUCGACGUCACGCCUCGCGCAUCGCUCGUCGGCAAAGAGCCCAAACUAAUGGCAUGCAUGCGCGACGCGAGUUCGCCACGUUGUUCGCCUUGAAUGAUUCGCGAUUUGUUUUAUUUACGUAUUCGGUCGAUGAUGUGCCUGCGUGUUUAUAUGUGUGUGAAAAUAUAUUUGUAUGAAUGGACGCGUGUAGAAAAGAAAAUGAAGUAGAAAAGAACUCGGAUAUUUUUAUUUUGAUAGGAAAAUAUGCGAUGCGAUUGUUUGAUGCGAAAAACUAAGUUACAAAAUGCGGAUUAUGUUUUGG